rnacentral:rRNA from 1 species
AACGAACGCUGGCGGCAUGCCUAACACAUGCAAGUCGAACGAGACCUUCGGGUCUAGUGGCGCACGGGUGCGUAACGCGUGGGAACCUGCCCUUAGGUUCGGAAUAACUCCCCGAAAGGGGUGCUAAUACCGGAUAAUGUCUUCGGACCAAAGAUUUAUCGCCUUUGGAUGGGCCCGCGUUGGAUUAGCUAGUUGGUAGGGUAAAAGCCUACCAAGGCGACGAUCCAUAGCUGGUCUGAGAGGAUGAUCAGCCACACUGGGACUGAGACACGGCCCAGACUCCUACGGGAGGCAGCAGUGGGGAAUAUUGGACAAUGGGCGAAAGCCUGAUCCAGCAAUGCCGCGUGAGUGAUGAAGGCCUUAGGGUUGUAAAGCUCCUUUACCCGGGAUGAUAAUGACAGUACCGGGAGAAUAAGCUCCAGCUAACUCCGUG